rnacentral:rRNA from 1 species
AGGGCUGCAAGCCGGCGACGGUAAGCCAAUCCCAGAAACCCUAUCUCAGUCCGGAUUGGAGUCUGCAACUCGACUCCAUGAAGUCGGAAUCGCUAGUAAUCGCAGAUCAGCAUUGCUGCGGUGAAUACGUUCCCGGGCCUUGUACACACCGCCCGUCACACCAUGGGAGUUUGUUGCACCAGAAGCAGGUAGCUUAACCUUCGGGAGGGCGCUUGCCACGGUGUGGCCGAUGACUGGGGUGAAGUCGUAACAAGGUAGCCGUAUCGGAAGGUGCGGUUGGAU